GUGGGGAAUAUUGCACAAUGGGCGGAAGCCUGAUGCAGCGACGCCGCGUGGGGGAUGACGGCCUUCGGGUUGUAAACCCCUUUCGGCAGGGAACAAGUCCUUCGGGGUGAGGGUACCUGCGGAAGAAGCGCCGGCUAACUACGUGCCAGCAGCCGCGGUAAUACGUAGGGCGCGAGCGUUAUCCGGAAUUAUUGGGCGUAAAGAGCUCGUAGGCGGUUUGUCGCGUCUGCUGUGAAAGCCCGGGGCUCAACCCCGGGUCUGCAGUGGGUACGGGCAGGCUGGAGUGCAGUAGGGGAGACUGGAAUUCCUGGUGUAGCGGUGAAAUGCGCAGAUAUCAGGAGGAACACCGAUGGCGAAGGCAGGUCUCUGGGCUGUAACUGACGCUGAGGAGCGAAAGCAUGGGGAGCGAACAGGAUUAGAUACCCUUGUAGUCC
rnacentral:rRNA from 1 species